GAGCUACACCAAGAUCACAGCUGUCCUCAGCAGCCCUCAUUCUGCUGUGUCCCACGGCAGUGCUGUGUGAGAAAUUUCUUCUUGGCUGUAGAGGAAGCACAAGGAGAUUAAGCUUGCUGGGCUAAAGAAAGUGAAUCCACUGCUGUGAGUACAGAAUCUCAGAACUGGAGGGGAUGGAAGGGACCUUUGGAGAUCAUCCAGUCCAAAAGCUCCAUUAACAGACGCCCGCCCCUCCCUUGAGGAUUUAAGAAGAAAGGAAGGGAGGCAAGGCAAGCUUUCCACCCCGCGGCAGAACCAAGCAUGCCUGCACCAAGCAGGGAGCUGUGUUGUGCUGAGGACUCUCUGUGGGUUUAAUGGAUUUCAGUUGCAUGCCAUGACAGAUUAUGCUGUGGAUUAUCUUCAGAUACAUGUAGGAGAGGUAUUUCAAGGGAACGCUCUUCAGUGGAUGACAAUAAAGUGCACAGAAAAACUGUUUCCCAUCUUUUCCCCUUUCACAUCCUCACAAGAUAAACACACUGUCUUAGGAAAUAAUACUAACAGCUGUAGUACCUCCGGAAAGGGAAGGAUCGACUCAGAGAGGUGUGAGGACCCGCAGCGCUGUUUCAGGCAGUAGAGGGUGCAGAGAAAUCAAAGGCUUCCACCUGGAGUCAAAAGAGGAUUCCUCAGUCACUGAAUCAAAGUCACUUCAGUCAGUUACUGAACCUAAUUUCACGUACUACUUUCAGCAAUGUGUUUUCCACUGAAACUUUGUAUGUGAGAGCCAGCUCCUCUGAGAUGCCUAACUUUGAAAACACUAUCUGUAAGCAAUGUUGAUAAGAUUUAAAGUAUAACUCACUUAAUAGAGUACCUAAGAUCUCAACAGUCUGCCCCUAACUGUUGCAGUGGAAAAGAAGAAUCACUCUUACAUAAAAUUAAUACUACAUGGGUCGUGAGCACAAGGUCUGUGAUCAGACCAAAACCUGGUGCCCAAUAAAAUGUUUAAUCUCCAUACAAGAUGGAGAUAAUGUCACCUGCACAAAUGGACCAGGAUGAUGGCUUUGCUUCCUUCAUCCACAUCAACAACAGAGAAAAUGAUUUCACUAGGUUGCCACUGUCUGCAGACACCAACAAACACACUGCCAAGGGCCAGCACUGCAACAUAAGGGGUCCAGCUUCUUGAAACUCUGCUAGAAAUGUUUCCUAGACUGGCCUUGUAUUUUAUUCAGUUUCUGGGAUAAAUUCUACUUUUUUUUUGUUUAAGAAAUUAAUUUGGGAAAAAAAAAAAGUAAAAAUCAUCUAACCAUAUACACUUCUCUGUUUAAUCAUAUUUUCUAAGUAGAAAGAGAGCAUUGUCUUACGAGUAGUAUUAGUAGUACAGAUGUGUAUUUCAUACAGCUUGAAAGUGCCUUCUGUUUUGUAUUUGCAUAUGUCAGUGUGAUAAUCCUAUCUCAUAAAGUAUGUAUAUACACAGAUAAAUGAAACCAGCCACAUAACAAUCCGAAUAGAGAUAAUAAAGCAUAGGGAAAUGUGAAGUU
rnacentral:lncRNA from 7 species